rnacentral:lncRNA from 10 species
AGAUGGAGUUUUGCUCUUGUUGCCCAGGCUGGAGUGCAAUGGCGCGAUCUCUGCUCAUGGCAACUUCCACCCCCCGGCUUCAAGCAAUUCUCUCCUGCCUCAGCUGCCCAAGUAGCUGGGAUUACAGAAGCAGCAAUCAGCAACCAAAAAAAGACCACUGGCAUUGGGAGAACAGGAUCCUUAUGGUCUACCCUGGUUCCUACAAGCUGUGUGCAAGAUGCCUCAGGAAUACUUGCACAACCUCCAGGCACAGGAAUAAAUGGUGUAGGAUAGGUAGCCACUGCUGAAUAAAUCUCAAUUUACCAUCCAAGCCUUACCCUGGGAGGUUCAAGCCUUCACCAAACUUCAGAGUUAUAAAACACAGUAUUCCUUUUAUAAUCUGAGAAGGGUAUGUCCUAAGACCCUCAGUGGAUGCCUGAAACUGCAGAUACUACUGGAGUCUAUAUAAACUGCUUUUUUGAUAUGAUAAACAAGAUGGCUACUAAAUGACUAAUGGGCAGAUAGUGUAUACAGCCUGGGUAUUCUGGACAGAGGAAUAAUUCAUGUCCUGGAAAGGACACAGUGGAUGGCAUGAGAUUUCAUCACACUACUCAGAAUAUUAUGCAAUUUAAAACUUACAAAUUGUUCAUUUAUGAAAUUUCCUUUUAAUAUUUUUGAAACCAUGCAAAGUGAAACAACAGAUAAGGUGGGACUACUGUAGUUAUAUCAGACAGAGUCGGCCAGUGCAAUUGUACAGGUGGGGAGACAGAUUCCUAGUGCUUUCUAUUCUACUGCCCUCCCAGGAUCCUUUCUUCAGUUCUGUUUUUACAAUUGAUCUCAGUAUGAUGAAUCAUAUUUUACCUCAACACUACGUACCUCAUAGAUAUAUUGUGAAGCUUGUGUGAGAGUAAGCAAGCAAUAGAGUUUGCCUUGCAAGCAGCUUUAAACUGUUUCUGGAACAAUCUAAGGUAGAAGAAAAAGGACAGGAAGAAGAAAACACGGGAAAAGGCAGUCAAUUUCAUAGGAGUCUCUUGCCUGUAUUUGUGGUAUCCCUUUUUGAAACUAAAUAUAUAGAGAUUCAGAACAUUACACUUGUGAUUAUUUUUAAUCAUAAUUUGAUUUUUUUCUGUUCCAUUAGUUAUCCAUGCCAGCAUUAUGUCAUCUUCAAUUUUAAUAAGCAUGUCUGUCUUGUUUCUACCUGUGUUAUUAAUACAAAUGAUGAUUGAACUGAUGACCCCAAUUUAUCAAGGAAAUGUUAAAUAUGCUAAUGAAUAAAUUUAUUAAUUUUAGAAAAAUUUACUAAAAGUGAUGCUUAAGUAUGCUUUUUUGAAUUUGUAGUUAAAUGUUGGUUAAUUUUUUUUAUAAAUUUGUAGGUUUUUAAAAAAUGUUUUCCUAAUAUGCACUACCUUAUCCCCUAACAAUGUCAGCAAAUGAAGAACUUACGUAUAUUGGUGAAUGCAUGCUAGUCUAUAUAUUUUUCUGGAGGUAUGAUUGUAAUGAGGGUAACAAUACAGUUUACUGGCCAUGUGCUAUCUCCAGUGAAGCUGUAGUUUCUAUUGUGACUCAGUUGGUCCAUUAGAUUAGAUUAGAGAUGAAUUUUUAAAACUCCAUUUCUCUUUACAAUUACUUUGCAUAAAUAAUCCAGGCUGGCCAGACCAAAUGACUAUUUUUGCUCUUGAUAUAAUCUUUCAGACACAACUUUGAAGUCUUUGAUAGGGAGAUAUUUUAAAAUAAGUUUAACACAUGCAUCUUCUAAAUACGACAAUGUUAUUAGAGACAAGGUUUUGCACUAGGUAAU